CUUAAUCUGACUGAACACGAUAAACCUCACACAGCCAGGACAUGGACAGGACUGACAGACUGAUAGUUCUCUCUUGAUUCUGUGGGUGGUGGUGCACAGCCAUUCUUAGUUGGUGGAGCGAUUUGUCUGGUUAAUUCCGAGAACAUGAAAUAUAUAUAAAAGUUUUCCUAAUGCAUCAUCUAUAGUGCUCAUCUGAAUCACUUAUUUUGAACACAAAUUAGAAAUACUUUUUAUUUUUUUUAUUCAUAAUAUUUUAUUUUAUUUAUUUAUUCCCUUUUGUUGCCCUUGUUG
rfam:Erinaceus europaeus unplaced genomic scaffold scaffold00480, whole genome shotgun sequence